ACGGAAGGCAGCAGUGGGGAAUAUUAGGCAAUGGGGGAAACCCUGACCUAGCAACGCCGCGUGAAGGAAGAAGGCUUUCGGAUUGUAAACUUCUUUUACCAGGGACGAAGGACGUGACGGUAUCUGGAGAAAAACCCACGGCUAACUACGUCCCAGCAGCCGCGGUAAUACGUAGGUGGCAACCGUGGUCCGGAUUUACUGGGUGUAAAGGGCGGGUAGGCGGAGCAGCAAGUCAGAAGUGAAAUCUCGGGGCUCAACCCCGAAACUGCUUUUGAAGCUGUUGCACUUGAGUAUCGGAGAGGCAGGCGGAAUUCCUAGUGUAGCGGUGAAAUGCGUAGAUAUUAGGAAGAACACCGGUGGCGAAGGCGGCCUGCUGGACGACAACUGACGCUGAGGCGCGAAAGCGUGGGGAGCAAACAGGAUUAGAUACCCUGGUA
rnacentral:rRNA from 1 species